UGUUGCAUGCUUUGCAAAUCGCUCUUUUUUCUUUUUCUUUUUGGUUUUCUUCUUGUGGUAUUUUUUGAAAAAGAAGCAACCAACUAAUACGCCAAGGACAGCAAUCAUGGAUGCAGCUCCAGCCUUGGUGUGCUCCAAGAAUAAAAUUGUCCCAAGUAAGGUGUGGGAGUAGAUUGCAUUUAUUGUUGUUUCAAUAAU
rnacentral:ribozyme from 14 species